AUUGAACGCUGGCGGCAUGCUUUAUACAUGCAAGUCGAACGGUAACGCGGGGGCAACCCUGGCGACGAGUGGCGAACGGGUGAGUAAUACAUCGGAACGUGUCCUGGAGUGGGGGAUAGCUCGGCGAAAGCCGGAUUAAUACCGCAUACGCUCUGAGGAGGAAAGCGGGGGACCUUCGGGCCUCGCGCUGCGGGAGCGGCCGAUGUCGGAUUAGCUAGUUGGUGGGGUAAAGGCCCACCAAGGCGACGAUCCGUAGCUGGUCUGAGAGGAUGGUCAGCCACACUGGGGCUGAGACACGGCCCAGACUCCUACGGGAGGCAGCAGUGGGGAAUUUUGGACAAUGGGGGCAACCCUGAUCCAGCCAUGCCGCGUGAGUGAAGAAGGCCUUCGGGUUGUAAAGCUCUUUCGGACGGAACGAAACGGUUACGGUGAAUAAUCGUGACUAAUGACGGUACCGUAAGAAGAAGCACCGGCUAACUACGUGCCAGCCGCCGCCGUAA
rnacentral:rRNA from 1 species